rnacentral:rRNA from 1 species
UACAGAGGGUGCGAGCGUUAAUCGGAAUUACUGGGCGUAAAGCGCACGUAGUCGGCUUUGCAAGUCGGGUGUGAAAUCCCCGGGCUCAACCUGGGAACUGCAUCCGAGACUGCAUUGCUAGAGUAUGGGAGAGGGAAGCGGAAUUUCUGGUGUAGCAGUGAAAUGCGUAGAUAUGACAUAGAACACCAAUUGCGAAGGCAGCUCGCUGGGACGUUACUGACGCUGAGACGCGAAAGCGUGGGGAGCAAACAGG